rnacentral:rRNA from 1 species
GAUGAACGCUGGCGGCAUGCCUAAUACAUGCAAGUCGAACGAGAGGAAGGAAAGCUUGCUUUCCUGAAUCUAGUGGCGAACGGGUGAGUAACACGUAGGUAACCUGCCCAUGUGCCCGGGAUAACUUCUGGAAACGGAUGCUAAAACCGGAUAGGUAGCAGACAAGCAUUUGACUGCUAUUAAAGUGGCCUUGGCCAUGAACAUGGAUGGACCUGCGGUGCAUUAGCUGGUUGGUGAGGUAACGGCCCACCAAGGCGACGAUGCAUAGCCGGCCUGAGAGGGCGGACGGCCACAUUGGGACUGAGACACGGCCCAAACUCCUACGGGAGGCAGCAGUAGGGAAUUUUCGUCAAUGGGGGGAACCCUGAACGAGCAAUGCCGCGUGAGUGAGGAAGGUCUUCGGAUCGUAAAGCUCUGUUGUAAGAGAAAAACGGCACUCAUAGGG